rnacentral:rRNA from 1 species
UGAACGCUGGCGGCAUGCCUUACACAUGCAAGUCGAACGGCAGCACGGGUGCUUGCACCUGGUGGCGAGUGGCGAACGGGUGAGUAAUACAUCGGAACAUGUCCUGUAGUGGGGGAUAGCCCGGCGAAAGCCGGAUUAAUACCGCAUACGAUCUACGGAUGAAAGCGGGGGACCUUCGGGCCUCGCGCUAUAGGGUUGGCCGAUGGCUGAUUAGCUAGUUGGUGGGGUAAAGGCCUACCAAGGCGACGAUCAGUAGCUGGUCUGAGAGGACGACCAGCCACACUGGGACUGAGACACGGCCCAGACUCCUACGGGAGGCAGCAGUGGGGAAUUUUGGACAAUGGGCGAAAGCCUGAUCCAGCAAUGCCGCGUGUGUGAAGAAGGCCUUCGGGUUGUAAAGCACUUUUGUCCGGAAAGAAAUCCUUGGCUCUAAUACAGUCGGGGGAUGACGGUACCGGAAGAAUAAGCACCGGCUAACUACGUGCCAGCAGCCGCGGUAAUACGUAGGGUGCGAGCGUUAAUCGGAAUUACUGGGCGUAAAGCGUGCGCAGGCGGUUUGCUAAGACCGAUGUGAAAUCCCCGGGCUCAACCUGGGGAACUGCAUUGGUGACUGGCAGGCUAGAGUAUGGCAGAGGGGGGUAGAAUUCCACGUGUAGCAGUGAAAUGCGUAGAGAUGUGGAGGAAUACCGAUGGCGAAGGCAGCCCCCUGGGCCAAUACUGACGCUCAUGCACGAAAGCGUGGGGGAGCAAACAGGAUUAGAUACCCUGGUAGUCCACGCCCUAAACGAUGUCAACUAGUUGUUGGGGAUUCAUUUCCUUAGUAACGUAGCUAACGCGUGAAGUUGACCGCCUGGGGAGUACGGUCGCAAGAUUAAAACUCAAAGGAAUUGACGGGGACCCGCACAAGCGGUGGAUGAUGUGGAUUAAUUCGAUGCAACGCGAAAAACCUUACCUACCCUUGACAUGGUCGGAAUCCCGCUGAGAGGUGGGAGUGCUCGAAAGAGAACCGGCGCACAGGUGCUGCAUGGCUGUCGUCAGCUCGUGUCGUGAGAUGUUGGGUUAAGUCCCGCAACGAGCGCAACCCUUGUCCUUAGUUGCUACGCAAGAGCACUCUAAGGAGACUGCCGGUGACAAACCGGAGGAAGGUGGGGAUGACGUCAAGUCCUCAUGGCCCUUAUGGGUAGGGCUUCACACGUCAUACAAUGGUCGGAACAGAGGGUUGCCAACCCGCGAGGGGGAGCUAAUCCCAGAAAACCGAUCGUAGUCCGGAUUGCACUCUGCAACUCGAGUGCAUGAAGCUGGAAUCGCUAGUAAUCGCGGAUCAGCAUGCCGCGGUGAAUACGUUCCCGGGUCUUGUACUCACCGCCCGUCA